AGCUGGUUCUCCUCGAAAUGCGUUGAGGCGCAGCGGUUGAUUAUGGACUUCUAGGGGGUAAAGCGCUGUCUCGGUGCGGGCUGCGAAAGCGGUACCAAUCUGUUGCAAACUCGGAAUACCUAGAACGCUUUCAAUCGGCCAGUGAGACUGCGGGGGAUAAGCUCCGUAGUCAAGAGGGAAACAGCCCAGACCACCAGCUAAGGCUCCUAAAUAAAAGCUAAGUGGCAAAGGAGGUGAAAAUGCAGUGACAAUCAGGAGGUUUGCCUAGAAGCAGCCACCCUUUAAAGAGUGCGUAAUAGCUCACUGAUCAAGCGUUUUCGCGCCGAAAAUGACCGGAACUAAGUUUUUUGCCGAAGCUGUGGCUACAUCACAUAGAUGAUGUAGGGUAGAGGAGCGUUCCGUCCAGGGGGAAGCCAAGCGCGUAAGCCGCGGUCGACAGGACGGAAGUGAGAAUGUCAGAUUGAGUAACGUAAACAUUGGUGAGAAUCCAGUGCCCCGAAAACUCAAGGGUUCCUGCGCAAGGCUCGUCCGCGCAGGGUCAGUCAGGACCUAAGGUGAGGCCGAAAGGCGUAAUUGAUGGCAAGAAGGUUUAUAUUCCUUCACUAGUCUAGGCUUAGUCCUGAGGGACGAACAAAUAACACUCGGCACAACGGCCACACUUGGCAGUAUGGAUAAACCCGUUGCUGUUUGAUGCUAUUUAUUCCAAGAAAAGCUCAUUCGACUUUGAGUCUAGAUUACCUGUACCGUAAACCGACACAGGUGAGUGGGUUGAAUAAACUAAGGGGAGCGAGAUAACUCUCUCUAAGGAACUCGGCAAAUUGGCUCUGUACCUUCGGAAGAAAGAGUGCCCCUCAGGGGGCCGCAGUGAAGAGAUCCAGGCGACUGUUUACCAAAAACACAGGUCUCCGCAAAGUCGUAAGACGACGUAUGGGGGCUGACACCUGCCCAGUGCCAGAAGGUUAAAGAAGUUGGUCAAUCUAUGAUGAAGCUAACGACUGAAGCCCUGGUGAACGGCGGCAGUAACUAUAACUGUCCUAAGGUAGCGAAAUUCCUUGUCGGGUAAGUUCCGACCCGCACGAAAGGUGUAACGAUCUGGAUACUGUCUCAGAGAGAGACUCGGUGAAAUAAAACUAUCUGUGAAGAUGCGGAUUACCUGCACACGGACAGAAAGACCCUAUGAAGCUUUACUGUAACCUGGAAUUGCUCUCAAGCUUAUCUUGCGCAGCUUAGGUGGGAGGCUAUGAACCUUUUCUUCUGGGAAGAGGGGAGCCAUCAGUGAGAUACCACUCUUGGUAAGCUAGAGCGCUCAGUCUUCACCGUCAUCCGGUAAGACGACAGUUUCAGGCGGGCAGUUUGACUGGGGCAGUCACCUCCCAAAAGGUAAUGGAGGUGUGCAAAGGUUCCCUCAGGCUGGACGGAAAUCAGCCAUAGAGUGUAAAAGCAAAAGGGAGCUUGACUGCGAGACUGACAUGUCAAGCAGAGACGAAAGUCGGCUUUAGUGAUCCGACGGUGCUGUGUGGAAAGGCCGUCGCUCAACGGAUAAAAGUUACUCUAGGGAUAACAGGCUAAUCUCCCCCAAGAGUUCACAUCGACGGGGAGGUUUGGCACCUCGAUGUCGGCUCGUCGCAUCCUGGAGCGGAAGUACGUUCCAAGGGUUGGGCUGUUCGCCCAUAGAAAGCGGCACGCGAGCUGGGUUCAGAACGUCGUGAGACAGUUUGGUCCAUAUCCUGUGUAGGCGUUUAGAGCAUUGAAAGGAUCUCCCCUUUGUACGAGAGGACCAGGUGGGGACAGACCGCUAGUGUACCAGUUAUCCCACCAGGGGUAAACGCUGGGUAGCUAUGUCUGGAGUAAAUAACUGCUGAAAGCAUAUAAGUAGGAAGUUCACCUUAAGAUGAGUGCUCUUUUGUCUCAACCGUUCAGUUUUACUGACAAAUGAAAGACAAGGAAGGUCACGGCAAGACGAGCCGUUUGAUAGGCAUGAAGUAGAAGUGCAGUAAUGCAUUCUGAAGCUGACAUGUGCUAAUAGACCGAGGGAUUUGAUUUU
rnacentral:rRNA from 1 species